UUUAAGAAAACACCAUGGAGAU
rnacentral:miRNA from 1 species